GGGGGAUAAGCUUCAUUGUCAAGAGGGAAACAGCCCAGAUCACCGUUUAAGGCCCCUAAAUAAUUACUAAGUGACAAAGGAGGUAAUCGUACAUAGACAACCAGGAGGUUUGCCUAGAAGCAGCCACCCUUUAAAAAUUGCGUAAUAGCUUACUGGUCAAGUGCUUUUGCGCCGAAAAUGAAUGGGACUAAGUAAUUUGCCGAAAAUGUGAGAUAAUAUCGGUAGAAGAGCGUUCUGUUUUAGUUUGAAGCAAUAGUGUAAACAGUUGUGGACUAUUCAGAAGUGAGAAUGUCGGCUUAAGUAACGAAAACAUUGGUGGAAAUCCAAUGCCCCGAAAACCUAAGGAUUCCUUCGCAAGGUUCGUCCACGAAGGGUUAGUCAGGGCCUAAAAUGAGGUUUAACAACGUAAUUGAUGGAUAACGGGUUAAUAUUCCCGUACUGCAAUUUAUAUGAUUAAGAGUGACGAAGAAGGCUAUAUCAUCCAAGUUUUGGUUUUUGGUUUAAUCUUUCAAGAUUUUGAGAAAUGCUAAAAAAAGUAUUUUGAGUUGAGAAGAGAAUACGAGAUAUACUACGGUAUUGAAAGUGAUAAAUGCCAUGCUUCCUAGAAAACUUUUUAACUUCUGGUAGAUUGUACCUGUACCUUAAACUGACACAGGUAGGUUGGUAGAGAAUACCAAGGGGCGCGAGAUAACUCUUUCUAAGGAACUCGGCAAAAUGACUCUGUAACUUCGGGAGAAAGAGUGCCACAUUUAUGUGGUCGCAGUUAACAGACCCAAGCGACUGUUUACCAAAAACACAGGUCUCCGCUAAGUUGUAAAACUAUGUAUGGGGGCUGACGCCUGCCCAGUGCCGGAAGGUUAAAAAAAUUGGUUAGCUCACGCGAAGCUGGUGACUGAAGCCCUGGUGAACGGCGGCCGUAACUAUAACGGUCCUAAGGUAGCGAAAUUCCUUGUCGGGUAAGUUCCGACCCGCACGAAAGGCGUAACGAUUUGGGUACUGUCUCAGAAAGAGACUCGGUGAAAUAGAAUUGACUGUGAAGAUGCGGUCUACUUGCACUUGGACAGAAAGACCCUAUGAAGCUUUACUGUAACUUGAAAUUGGUUUCGGGCUUUUCUUGCGCAGAAUAGGUGGGAGGCUAUGAUCCUCUUUUUCGGAAGUUGGUGAGCCGCAAUGUGAGAUACCACUCUAGAAAAGUUAGAAAUCUAAUGACAUUUUUUAAUCAAGAUGUUUGACACUUUCAGGCGGGCAGUUUUACUGGGGCGGUAGCCUCCUAAAAAGUAACGGAGGCGUACAAAGGUUUUCUCAGGCUGGACGGAAAUUAGUUGUAGAGUGUAAAGAUAUAAGAAAGCUUGACUGUGAGACCUACAAGUCAAACAGAGACUAAAGUCGGUCUUAGUGAUCCGACGGUGCUGUAUGGAAAGGCCGUCGCUCAACGGAUAAAAGUUACUCUAGGGAUAACAGGCUGAUCUCCCCCAAGAGUUCACAUCGACGGGGAGGUUUGGCACCUCGAUGUCGGCUCAUCGCAACCUGGGGCGGAAGUACGUUCCAAGGGUUGGGCUGUUCGCCCAUUAAAGCGGUACGUGAGCUGGGUUCAGAACGUCGAGAGACAGUUCGGUCCAUAUCCGGUGUGAGUGUUAGAGUAUUGAAAGGAGCUUUCCUUAGUACGAGAGGACCGGGAAGGACGCACCACUGAUGUACCAGUUUUUGUACCAACAGAAUACGCUGGGUAGUCACGUGCGGAGUGGAUAAC
rnacentral:rRNA from 1 species